UGAGUAUAUCUCUCUCUGGUCUACCAAUU
rnacentral:piRNA from 1 species